UACGAAGGGGACUAGCGUUGUUCGGAAUCACUGGGCGUAAAGGGUGCGUAGGCGGGUCUUUUAAGUCAGGGGUGAAAUCCUGGAGCUCAACUCCAGAACUGCCUUUGAUACUGAAGAUCUUGAGUUCGGGAGAGGUGAGUGGAACUGCGAGUGUAGAGGUGAAAUUCGUAGAUAUUCGCAAGAACACCAGUGGCGAAGGCGGCUCACUGGCCCGAUACUGACGCUGAGGCACGAAAGCGUGGGGAGCAAACAGG
rnacentral:rRNA from 1 species